rnacentral:rRNA from 1 species
CCACCACUAAGCCAGUGGUGAACUCCACAUACGCAUCCUUUGCUGAAGGCAAUGGUUAACGGAGCGAAAGCGACGUUCAACCGCAAAACAAGCAGAGGGGGCUUAGUGGUGGGGUGACUGCGUACCUUUUGUAUAAUGGGUCAGCGACUUAUAUUCUGUAGCAAGGUUAACCGUAUAGGGGAGCCGGAGGGAAACCGAGUCUUAAUUGGGCGUUAAGUUGCAGGGUAUAGACCCGAAACCCGGUGAUCUAGCCAUGGGCAGGUUGAAGGUUGGGUAACACUAACUGGAGGACCGAACCGACUAAUGUUGAAAAAUUAGCGGAUGACCUGUGGCUGGGGGUGAAAGGCCAAUCAAACCGGGAGAUAGCUGGUUCUCCCCGAAAGCUAUUUAGGUAGCGCCUCGUGAAUUCAUCUCCGGGGGUAGAGCACUGUUUCGGCUAGGGGGCCAUCCCGGCUUACCAACCCGAUGCAAACUGCGAAUACCGGAGAAUGUUAUCACGGGAGACACACGGCGGGUGCUAACGUCCGUCGUGAAGAGGGAAACAACCCAGACCGCCAGCUAAGGUCCCAAAGUCAUGGUUAAGUGGGAAACGAUGUGGGAAGGCCCAGACAGCCAGGAUGUUGGCUUAGAAGCAGCCAUCAUUUAAAGAAAGCGUAAUAGCUCACUGGUCGAGUCGGCCUGCGCGGAAGAUGUAACGGGGCUAAACCAU